UCCAGUAAUGCAGCUAACGCAUUAAGCAUCCCGCCUGGGGAGUACGGUCGCAAGAUUAAAACUCAAAGGAAUAGACGGGGACCCGCACAAGCGGUGGAGCAUGUGGUUUAAUUCGAAGAUACACGAAGAACCUUACCUAGGCUUGACAUUGAGAGAAUCCGCUAGAAAUAGUGGAGUGUCUGGCUUGCCAGACCUUGAAAACAGGUGCUGCACGGCUGUCGUCAGCUCGUGUCGUGAGAUGUUGGGUUAAGUCCCGCAACGAGCGCAACCCCCUUUCUUAGUUGCUAACAGGUCAUGCUGAGAACUCUAAGGAUACUGCCUCCGUAAGGAGGAGGAAGGUGGGGACGACGUCAAGUCAUCAUGGCCCUUACGCCUAGGGCUACACACGUGCUACAAUGGGGUGCACAAAGAGAAGCAAUACUGCGAAGUGGAGCCAAUCUUCAAAACACCUCUCAGUUCGGAUUGUAGGCUGCAACUCGCCUGCAUGAAGCUGGAAUCGCUAGUAAUCGCAAAUCAGCCAUGUUGCGGUGAAUACGUUCCCGGGUCUUGUACUCACCGCCCGUCACACCAUGGGAGUUGUGUUUGCCUUAAGUCAGGAUGCUAAAUUGGCUACUGCCCACGGCACACACAGCGACUGGGGUGAAGUCGUAACAAGGUAACCGUAGGUGAACCUGCGGUUGGAUCACCUCCUUUCUAGA
rnacentral:rRNA from 1 species